GAUGAACGCUGGCGGCGUGCUUAACACAUGCAAGUCGAACGGAAAGGCCCUGCUUUUGUGGGGUGCUCGAGUGGCGAACGGGUGAGUAACACGUGAGUAACCUGCCCUUGACUUUGGGAUAACUUCAGGAAACUGGGGCUAAUACCGGAUAGGAGCUCCUGCUGCAUGGUGGGGGUUGGAAAGUUUCGGCGGUUGGGGAUGGACUCGCGGCUUAUCAGCUUGUUGGUGGGGUAGUGGCUUACCAAGGCUUUGACGGGUAGCCGGCCUGAGAGGGUGACCGGGGACAGUGGGAAUGAGAGAAGGCCGAGACGCCUACGGGAGGCAGCAGUGGGGAAGAGGGCAAAAUGGGUGGAAGCGUGAUGCAGCAACGGCGCGGGCGGGAUGAGGGCCGUCGGGUUGUAAACCGCUUUCGCCGGUGACGAAGCGGGAGGGACGGUAAGGGGUAAAGAAGCACCGGCUAACUACGUG
rnacentral:rRNA from 1 species